GUAAUACUGAAGAUAACAGUAAAAUCCAUCAAUGGUGAAAUGAUAAAAUGCAUUUAUUGCACAUAUAUUCAUUUGAAUACUAUGUAGUACAACAAGAAUGAUGACUAUAUAAGAAAGGUAUACAAGGAAGGCAAUAUAUAUGCACAUAUGAGUAAAUUAAAUAUUUGCAAUCAUCUUAAAAAAAAAGCUAGUUGCUAAGCAAUUUAUUUUUCAAAAAUAAGUAUAGUGUAGGUAUAGAAAUAUGACUAGUAGCAGAGUCCAGUACUUACUUAUACCAGUGGCCCAAAGCCUAUCAAUUUUUUACUUUAUUUACUAUAACAAGCCUUAAUUUAAUAUUUAAAAAUUAAGAGAAAACUUAGAACUUAAAAAAGAAAGGAAGGAAGGAAGAAACUGACUGACUUCCAGUCAAGAUGGCAGCGUAGGGUAGACAAGGCUCACCUCUUUGCAUGACAUCAAAAUUACAACUAAAAUAUGGUAACUGUCACUCAGAACUGUCAUAAAUUGAGUUGAAUGGAAGUCUGACAACUACGGAAUUAAAGAAACCACACUCAUCCCAACUGCUAGGAAGGGCACAAAUGUGGAAUGGGCUGGUGCCAACCUAUGUGUGGUGGGUAAAAAUUGGGAGGGAUAUUUCAGGAGCAAGGUGUCCCUGCUGGACACCAGGUCUCCCAGCCAAGGGUUCCACUGCCAGAAAGAUAAGUCCCCACAGCUUCUGGCUGCAAAAACCAGUAGGAUUGAAUCCGUGGAAGAAACCUCUGGAGCCCGGAACAGUUCCUCUUAAAGAACCUGCACGUGGACUCACCUACUCAGACUCACUCCCUCUGAGCUCCAGCACCAGGAUGGAGGCUUGAAGGGCACAAGUGGCACAGAAGGUGAACUGUCUGGCAUCGUGGUGAGCUGAGGCCAUUGCCCCUUUUCUGAGCUCUCUCCCUGCAGAGCCAUGGAACCAGCAGAUUGGUGCCAUAUCUGAGACUCCAUCAACCUGGCUAACACUGUUUGACCCACCUUAGAGGUCCCCAGAG